UUUCUUCAAGAGAGAAUGGAAGCGUAACUGGCCCUUUUUGGUUGGAUUCGCGAUCACCGGAACCAUAAUUACCAAGAUGUCCCUUGCUCUCACUGAGGAGGAGGCCAAAAAUUCAAAAUUCGUUCAGCACCACAAGAGGUGAUUUCUGAAUGGAAGAAUGGAACUGCCUUUGCACAUUGUAUUAGAUGUGUCAAGGGAGCUUUGCGUGUUUUAGUUUCUCAAAUUGUAAUAACAGAUGAGAGAUGUUGUAUACACUCUCAUCACGUACCUAUUUCCAAUUUUGGUUGUUUACUUAAAUGUGCUUGAGAAUUCAAUACUAAGAAGUUCUGAAUCAAUAGAUUCACUCUAUGAUUACUUUAAUGUGAUAA